AAUCAUUUCAAAUUAGGGUUGUUUUAGUGACAUCAUCAGCUAAAAGUAGUUGCGAUUUCCGAAUGAAACAAUAUUCCCCAAAGUGUAAAACGAAGAAAGUGAAUUCCGUUUUUACAACCGCAUAAUAUUAUCAAUUAUCUUGGGAAUAGAGGAGUAUGAGCUCAUCCGAUGCGAACGUUGCGAUUGCUCGUUCGGAUGCGACGCAGAGUGUAGCAAAGUCGAGAAUGGCAAGAUCCUCAUCAGAGCCGAAAACUAACACGAUCUCUGCGUUUGUGCGUAAGGCCACCAGACCCCUGAAAGUUACAACCUCGAAAAGACCUCAAACCGUCCCAGCUCCAGGGCGAGAUCAGCUCUCCCACCCUGAGGGCUAGUCAAUGUGCUUUAAGAGACCCUCCCCAGAGUAAAUACCUGAAAUAAAGCCGAGGAGAGCGGAUUUUUCUGUAACUUACUCAAAUGCUCAAUUAUUUGCAAUACAAUUAUUUGUGGUUUUUUCUACUCAAGUUAAGUUUAAAGUUACUUCGAUUAAAAUGAAUGGAAGAUUA